rnacentral:rRNA from 1 species
CCUACGGGGGGCUGCAGUGGGGAAUAUUGGACAAUGGGGGGAACCCUGAUCCAGCCAUGCCGCGUGUGUGAAGAAGGCCCUCGGGUUGUAAAGCACUUUCAGUGAGGAAGAACGCCUGGUGGUUAAUACCCAUCAGGAAAGACAUCACUCACAGAAGAAGCACCGGCUAACUCCGUGCCAGCAGCCGCGGUAAUACGGAGGGUGCGAGCGUUAAUCGGAAUUACUGGGCGUAAAGCGCGCGUAGGUGGCUUGAUAAGCCGGUUGUGAAAGCCCCGGGCUCAACCUGGAACGGCAUCCGGAACUGUCAAGCUAGAGUGCAGGAGAGGAAGGUAGAAUUCCCGGUGUAGCGGUGAAAUGCGUAGAGAUCGGGAGGAAUACCAGUGGCGAAGGCGGCCUUCUGGACUGACACUGACACUGAGGUGCGAAAGCGUGGGUAGCAAACAGGAUUAGAUACCCUGGUAGUC